GGCGGCGCGCCUAACACAUGCAAGUCGCACGAGAAACUCUGUAGCAAUACGGGGCGGUAAAGUGGCGAACGGGUGAGUAAUGCAUGGGUGACCUGUCCUCAAGAUGGGAAUAACCUCGCGAAAGCGGGGCUAAUACCCAAUGCCAUCUCGGUUCUACGGGAUCGGGAUGAAAGGUAGCUGUUACAGGCUGUCACUUGAGGAAGGGCCCAUGUCCCAUCAGCUAGUUGGUAGGGUAACGGCCUACCAAGGCUAUGACGGGUAGCUGGUCUGAGAGGACGACCAGCCACACUGGCACUGAGACACGGGCCAGACUCCUACGGGAGGCAGCAGUGAGGAAUCUUGCGCAAUGGACGAAAGUCUGACGCAGCGACGCCGCGUGGGGGAUGAAGGCCUUCGGGUCGUAAACCCCUUUUGGUGGGAAAGAAACGCCCCAAUGUUAAUAGCGCUGGGGUUUGACGGUACCCACAGAAAAAGCCACGGCUAACUCUGUGCCA
rnacentral:rRNA from 1 species